rnacentral:rRNA from 1 species
UACCAGCACCCCGAGUGGUCGGGGCGUUUAUUGGGCCUAAAGCAUCCGUAGCCGGUUACAAGUCUUCCGUUAAAUCCAACUGCUUAACAGGUGGGCUGCGGAAGAUACUAUAGAGCUAGGAGGCGGGAGAGGCAAGCGGUACUCGAUGGGUAGGGGUAAAAUCCGUUGAUCCAUUGAAGACCACCAGUGGCGAAGGCGGCUUGCCAGAACGCGCUCGACGGUGAGGGAUGAAAGCUGGGGGAGCAAACCGG